AUACUAUCUGUUCAGGGCAGUGGUUCCCAAACGGGUUCGUGAAUCCCUGGGGGUUCACGAAAUCUUACAGGGGGUUCUCGGGAAAAAAUUCCCUAAU